UACGUAGGAGGCGAGCGUUGUCCGGAAUCACUGGGCGUAAAGCGCGUGUAGGCGGCACGCAAGUCUGCUGUGAAAUCUCGUGGCUCAACUGCGAGGGGUCAGUGGAAACUGCCGCACUAGAGGACGGUAGAGGGGGGGUGGAAUUCCCGGUGUAGUGGUGAAAUGCGUAGAGAUCGGGAGGAACACCUGUGGCGAAGGCGGCCCCCUGGGCCGGCCCGCUGACACUGAGACGCGAAGGCGUGGGGAGCGAACGGG
rnacentral:rRNA from 1 species